rnacentral:rRNA from 1 species
AUUGAACGCUGGCGGCAUGCCUUACACAUGCAAGUCGAACGGCAGCACGGGAGCAAUCCUGGUGGCGAGUGGCGAACGGGUGAGUAAUAUAUCGGAACGUGCCCAGUCGUGGGGGAUAACGUAGCGAAAGCUACGCUAAUACCGCAUACGAUCUAUGGAUGAAAGCGGGGGAUCGCAAGACCUCGCGCGAUUGGAGCGGCCGAUAUCAGAUUAGGUAGUUGGUAGGGUAAAGGCCUACCAAGCCAACGAUCUGUAGCUGGUCUGAGAGGACGACCAGCCACACUGGAACUGAGACACGGUCCAGACUCCUACGGGAGGCAGCAGUGGGGAAUUUUGGACAAUGGGCGAAAGCCUGACGGAGCAAUCUCGCGUGAGGGAUGACGGCCUAUGGGUUGUAAACCUCUUUUUUAGGGUAGGAACAAAAUGACGUGUACCUAAAGAAUAAGCAUCGGCUAACUCCGUGCCAGCAGCCGCGGU